rnacentral:rRNA from 1 species
AGGACGAACGCUGGCGGCGUGCUUAACACAUGCAAGUCGAGCGGUAAGGCCCUUUCGGGGGUACACGAGCGGCGAACGGGUGAGUAACACGUGAGCAAUCUGCCCUUCACUUCGGGAUAAGCCUCGGAAACGGGGUCUAAGUACCGGAUAUGACUGCGCCAUGCAGUGUGGUGUGGUGGAAAGUUCUGGCGGUGAGGGAUGAGCUCGCGGCCUAUCAGCUUGUGGUGGGUAUGGCCUACAGGCUUCGACGGUAGCCGGCUGAGAGGGUGACCGGCCACACGUGGGACUGAGACGACGGCCCAGACCUCCGUACGGGAGGCAGCAGGUGGGAAUAGUGGACAAGUGGGACGAAGGCC